CGCAGUUGUGCGCGAGAAGCCGAAUUGUUGAGACGCGAGUGAAAUUAGUGCUGGCUGAGCUGCUUUCAUAGAAUUCUCUGCUAGUAGUGGUUUAAUUUUCAAAUUUAUUAAAAUUGCAUAAGUGUAAAGUUAUUCCCAAGGACACACAUUCAUUUAGUUAGUAGUGCAUGGACGAGCAGUGCGAAGCUUAGAUGGAUGGAUUGUAUUAGAUUCACACAUACAUAUAUAUAUAAUAUUUGAGUAAUACGAAUACUUUUAUACAAUCACAUCUACAAAUGUCCAUGCUCACGUCUGCACUUAGUUAUAUAUUUGAAUAGACUGAACAUUCCAGACAGACAUUGCUUACUCUCUUUCUACAAACCGACUUCGUAGCAGAGCAAGCAAAUAAAUAAAUAAAGACCACAGCAACAAACAAGGAAUAUCAGAAGAAGUAUCCUGCUCGAAUUACGUGCGGGAUAGAAUAUAAAUAUAUAUAGAUAUCUACAUAUACUUCACAGUCACAGCAGUCAGACUAACAUCCACAGGAUGGGUCGGCUAACACAAAUGCUGGCCGUCCUGCUGCUGGUAGCUGCUUUAAGCUCAGCAAAUGCAGAGAGUAAAAUAAAUUCACCGCCUCGUAUUAUAAAACAGCCCCCGACAGAUGAGCUACUUUUCAAAGUUGCCGUACAAAAUAAGGAAAGUGAUAAGCCAUUCAUCAUCGAGUGUGAGGCUGAAGGAAAACCGGAUCCAAGUUACCGAUGGAUCAAAAACGGCAAAAAAUUCGAUUGGCAAGCCUACGACAACCGCAUGCUGCAACAGCCCGGCCGUGGUACACUCGUAAUCACAUCACCCAAAGAUGAGGAUAUGGGACAGUAUCAGUGUUUCGCUGAGAACGAAUUUGGUACAGCCACCUCAAACUCGGUAUUCGUACGUAAAGCCGAAUUGAAUGCAUUCAAAGAUGAAGUAGCGAAAACAAUCGAAACCAACGAAGGUGAGCCCUUCUCGCUCAGUUGCGAAGCGCCCGACGGUUGGCCCAAACCCAUUGUCAAUUGGUUGAUACAGCAUUCUUUGGAAGGCACCAUUAAGUCGAUCAACAACUCACGCAUGACACUCGAUCCCGAAGGUACUCUCUGGUUCUCAAAUGUGACACGUGAAGAUGCUUCCGAUGAUUUCUUCUAUGCCUGCUCGGCUACCUCAGUGUUCCGUAAUGAAUAUAAGAUCGGUAAUAAAGUUUUGUUGGAUGUGAAACAGACCGGCAUCAGCGCUGCACUGAACAAACAACAGCCGAAACGUCAAUAUGUGACACGUAAAAACGAGGUGGCAUUGCGAGGUAAACGUGUUGAGUUGUACUGUAUUUUCGGUGGCACACCGCUGCCGCAAACAGUGUGGUCGAAAAAUGGCGCGCCUAUAGAAUGGAGCGAUCGCAUAACGCAGGGUCACUAUGGUAAAUCUCUGGUUAUCCGUCAGGCGAGCUUCGACGAUGAAGGCACUUACACCUGUGAUGUUUCGAACGGUGUUGGCAAUGCACAAUCAUACUCCAUCAAACUGCAGAUCUUGGCGACACCGUACUUCACCAAAGAGCCGGAGGUACAAAAUGCCGCAGAGGAUGAAGAAGUCACAUUCGAGUGCGCUGCAGCUGGUAAUCCCGAACCGACAAUUCAAUGGGUACAUAAUGGCAAACCAAUCGCGCAGUCACCACCUAAUACACGCCGUAUUGUUGAAAAUAAUAGAAUUAUCAUACGUGAUCUUGUGAAGGCAGAUACGGGUAAUUACGGUUGUAACGCCACCAAUUCGCUUGGCUACGUCUACAAGGAUGUCUACCUCAACGUUUUGGCUCUACCACCAGAGAUUCAAGAAGCACCACGCAAGGAAGCCACCGUUGAUGGUAAAAAUGUAACUCUGCGUUGUCGUGUCUUUGGUGCACCCAAACCACAAGUGAAAUGGAUACACAAUCAUCAGGAGCUGACGGGUGGACGAUACAACACGUUGCCCUCGGGUGAUUUGGAGAUCCAAGAAGUUGCUUUCAGCGAUGAAGGUGACUACACUUGCUUUGCCACAAACAAAUUUGGUAAGAUCUCAGCGAACGGCACUUUGUUGGUUAUGAAGAGAACGACUAUUAUACACGAACCACAGAAUUACGAGGUGGCAGCGGGUAAGUCGGCAACUUUCCGUUGCAAUGAAGAGCACGAUGAAAAACUGGAUCUGGAAAUUGAGUGGUGGAAAGAUGGACAAGCUAUUGAUUUCGAAGCGGAAGCACGUUUCGUUAAAACCAAUGACAACUCUCUAACGAUUCCAAAGACCGUAGAGCUUGAUUCGGGCGAAUAUACUUGUGUCGCGCGUACAAGUUUGGACGAGGCCUCGGCUAAAGCCAAUCUUAUUGUACAGGACGUGCCGAAUGCACCGCGUUUAGUUGGCAUCGUUUGUAUGGCGAAUAGGAUAAGAGUGACGUGGGAACCACAGGGAGAUAAUCGUUCACCAAUUCUUUAUUACACUAUCGAAUUCAAUACCUCAUUCACACCCGACUCUUGGGAUGUCUCAUACGAUAAAGUACCGUCCACUGAAACUGCGUUCGUUGUCGAUUUAACGCCUUGGUCUAACUAUACUUUCCGUGUGAAGGCGUUCAACAAAAUCGGUCCCUCACCGCCUUCCGAACACAGUGAGAUAUGUACAACACCGCCAGAUGUGCCCUACAAGAACCCCGACAAUGUACAAGGCAUGGGUACGGAACCAAACAAUUUAGUGAUAUCCUGGACACCAAUGCCAGAGAUCGAUCACAAUGCGCCAGAUUUCCAUUAUCGUGUCUCUUGGAAACGUGAUAUUCCUGCAGCAUCUUGGGAGAGUAAAGAUAUAUACGAUUGGCGGCAAAAUAAUUUAGUAAUACCGGAUCAACCAACUUAUGUGCCGUAUCUGAUUAAAGUGGUUGCUAUAAAUAAGCAUGGCGAGGCGAAUGUUGCACCCACAGAGAUCAUUGGCUAUUCAGGAGAAGACCGUCCCUUGGAAGCACCUACCAACUUUAGUAUGGUCCAGGUUACCGCCGCCACCACAGCCAUGUUACGCUGGAACCACGUUAGUCCUGAAUCGGUGCGUGGCCGUUUCAAGGGUUAUAAAAUUCAAACAUGGACUGAGAAAGAAGGUGAGGAGGCUCUCCGUGAAAUACAUGUGGAUGCUAUCUCCGAUCAGGCACUCGUUACACAAUUCAAACCCGAUUCGAAGAACUUUGCACGCGUCCUCGCCUACAAUGGUCGCUUUAAUGGUCCACCUAGUAUAGUCAUUGAUUUUGAUACACCCGAAGGUGUACCAUCACCUGUGCAAUCACUAGAUGCUUAUCCACUCGGUUCAUCUGCUUUCUGGCUCGUUUGGAAGAAACCACUACAACCGAAUGGAAAACUAACUGGCUACAAAAUCUACUAUGAAGAGGUUAAGGGCAGCUAUGUAAGUCAACGGCUCGAACUCAACCCGCAAAUUAAUAAUCCCGAUACUACGAGUGCGAAAUUGGCAGGUUUAUCGGCCAACACUAAAUAUAGAAUCUCAAUAACGGCGACUACGAAAAUGGGCGAGGGAUCAGAACAUUUCAUUGAGAAACGCACUUUACCGAAAGAUUCACUGAAACCUGCUAUACCGACAUUUACUUUGGAACCAUUACCGUCAGAGAAUGGCAAUGCUAGAUAUCGCAUUAACUGGUUGCCUAAUACCGAAGGACAUGCUGGCACACACUUCUACACACAAUACAGAAUCAAAGGUGAGCCCAAUUUCGCAAAAGUAGCUGAAGAGUUCUCUAAGGAUUAUCAAGAGAUUUUGGGUCUCAAUCCCGAUAAUGUGUAUGAAUUCCGUGUUGUAUCUGUCGAUGGUGAUAAUGAAACGCCCAGUGAAUUGCGUGAAAUCGUCAUAGAUGGACCCACAAAAGUGCCCAAUCAGAAUGUGGCGAAUGCCGGUUGGUUUAUUGGCAUGAUGUUGGCGUUGGCCUUCAUCAUAAUAUUGUUCAUUAUCAUAUGUAUAAUAAGACGUAAUCGUGGUGGCAAAUAUGAUGUACAUGAUCGUGAAUUGGCGAAUGGUCGUCGUGACUAUCCGGAUGAAGGCGGGUUCCAUGAAUACUCACAGCCAUUGGAUAACAAGAGCGCAGGUCGCCAGUCGGUUAGUUCGGCGAAUAAGCCUGGUGUGGAGAGUGACACCGAUUCGAUGGCCGAAUAUGGUGAUGGUGAUACAGCAGCUGUUGCAUAUAAAGGCAGAGGCAUUGCCAAUAAUUUAGCCCCAGUACCCGAACUGUAAGAUGAAGCUGCCAACCUAGCAGCGAAUAUGUUAAAACAUUAGCCAAGCAAUUCAAUUACUACUUCACAAAUCAAAUGAAAAAAUAGUAAAUUUAUUUCAAAGGUUUAAAUGAAGAUGGCUCUUUUAUUGGCCAAUAUGGACGUAAAGGACUUUGAUUUGAAGCAGUGUAAACAGUUUUAAACCAUUUUUGUAUUCGUAACCGUUAGAAAUAAACACAAUCAUGACAGAAAGAGAGAGCGCAAGCGCAUCAGCAUUCACGGCAAACAACAAUAACAAAAUUAUCAACAACCAACAAAAUGUUUAGAUUACUGCCAAACAAUAUUCAAAUUUCGCACAAUGAUGAAAAUGUUUUAUAAGCCGAAACCAGUUAAUAUAUAUAUUUUUUGUAUCAUACUUAAAAAAAAACCUGCUGAACAAAAACGAAAAAAAUAUAUUUCAUAUUACCGCAAUAAUUUUGUAUCUGUUAAAAUCAUCCAUUCACACAUAAGCAUACAUUCAUAACCAGAUAACAAACAAACAAAAAGCAAAAAAACAAAAACAGUGCAGCACCGAGAGUGAAAACUCUUUUGUAUUUUUUUUUUUUUAUUUAACUAUACGUAUACCUAUGUAUGUAGUUUAAAAUGUGUUUUAUAAGAAAA
rnacentral:misc_RNA from 1 species